AGGACGAACGCUGGCGGCGUGCUUAACACAUGCAAGUCGAGCGGAAAGGCCCUUCGGGGUACUCGAGCGGCGAACGGGUGAGUAACACGUGAGUAAUCUGCCCUUAGCUCUGGGAUAGCUCCGGGAAACCGGGAUUAAUACCAGAUAUGACCACACUAGACAUCUGGUGUGGUGGAAAGGAUUCCGGCUAGGGAUGAGCUCGCGGCCUAUCAGCUUGUUGGUGGGGUAACGGCCUACCAAGGCGACGACGGGUAGCCGGCCUGAGAGGGCGACCGGCCACACUGGGACUGAGACACGGCCCAGACUCCUACGGGAGGCAGCAGUGGGGAAUAUUGCGCAAUGGGCGAAAGCCUGACGCAGCGACGCCGCGUGGGGGAUGAAGGCCUUCGGGUUGUAAACCCCUUUCAGCAGGGACGAAGCGAAAGUGACGGUACCUGCAGAAGAAGCGCCGGCUAACUACGUGCCAGCAGCCGC
rnacentral:rRNA from 1 species